ACCUUCCAAGAAAGCACCGGCUAACUCCGUGCCAGCAGCCGCGGUAAUACGGAGGGUGCAAGCGUUGCUCGGAAUUACUGGGCGUAAAGCGUACGCAGGCGGUCUGAUAAGUCGGGUGUGAAAGCCCCGGGCUCAACCCGGGAACUGCAUUCGAAACUGCCAGACUUGAGUUUGGGAGAGGGAAGUGGAAUUCCUGGUGUAGAGGUGAAAUUCGUUGAUAUCAGGAGGAACACCGGCGGCGAAAGCGGCUUCCUGGCCCGAUACUGACGCUCAUGUACGAAAGCGUGGGGAGCAAACAGGAUUAGAUACCCUGGUAGUCCACGCCGUAAACGAUGAGUGCUAGAUGUUGGAGGUAUUCACCCCUUCAGUGUCGAAGCUAACGCAUUAAGCACUCCGCCUGGGGAGUACGGCCGCAAGGUUAAAACUCAAAGGAAUUGACGGG
rnacentral:rRNA from 1 species